GGGUAGGUGCCCGAGUGGCUAAAGGGGACGGACUGUAAAUCCGUUAGCUUGCGCUUACGAAGGUUCGAAUCCUUCCCUGCCCA
rnacentral:tRNA from 1 species